GAUGAACGCUAGCGGCAGGCUUAAUACAUGCAAGUCGAGGGGCAGCAUGAUUGUAGCAAUACAAUUGAUGGCGACCGGCAAACGGGUGCGGAACACGUACACAACCUUCCAAUAAGUGGGGAAUAGCCCAGAGAAAUUCGGAUUAAUACCCCGUAACAUAACGAUGUGGCAUCACAUUGUUAUUAUAGAUUUUUCGCUUAUUGAUGGGUGUGCGGCUGAUUAGAUAGUUGGCGGGGUAACGGCCCACCAAGUCUACGAUCAGGAGCUGAUGUGAGAGCAUGAUCAGCCACACGGGCACUGAGACACGGGCCCGACUCCUACGGGAGGCAGCAGUAAGGAAUAUUGGACAAUGGACGCAAGUCUGAUCCAGCCAUGCCGCGUGAAGGAUUAAGGUCCUCUGGAUUGUAAACUUCUUUUAUAAGGGACGAAAAAAGGCUUUUCUAAGUCGUCUGACGGUACCUUAUGAAUAAGCACCGGCUAACUCCGUGCCAGCCGCCGCCGUAAUAC
rnacentral:rRNA from 1 species